rnacentral:rRNA from 1 species
UGGGGAUCAAACAGGAUGAGAUUCACCUGGUAGUUCACGCCGUCAACCACGAGUGCUUAGUGUUAGGGGGUUUCCUGCCCCCUUCAGUGCUGCAGCUAACGCAUUAAGCACUCCGCCUGGGGAGUACGACCGCAAGGUUGAUACUCAAAAGAAUUGACGGGGAGCCCGCACAAGCGGUGGAAGCAUGUGGUUUAUUUCGAAGCAACGCGAAGAACCUUACCAAAUCUUGACAUCCUUUGAAAACUCUAGAGAUAGAGCCUUCCCCUUCGGGGGACAAAAGUGACAGGUGGUGCAUGGUUGUCGUCAGCUCGUGUCGUGAGAUGUUGGGUUUAAGUCCCGCAACGAGCGCAACCCUUAAACUUAGUUGCCCGCAUUUAGUUGGGCACUCUAGGUUGACUGCCGGUGACAAACCGGAGGAAGGUGGGGAUGACGUCAAAUCAUCAUGCCCCUUAUGAUUUGGGCUACACACGUGCUACAAUGGACAAUACAAAGGGCAGCUAAACCGCGAGGUCAUGCAAAUCCCAUAAAGUUGUUCUCAGUUCGGAUUGUAGUCUGCAACUCGACUACAUGAAGCUGGAAUCGCUAGUAAUCGUAGAUCAGCAUGCUACGGUGAAUACGUUCCCGGGUCUGGUACACACCGCCCGUCCCUCCACGAGAGUUUGUAACACCCGAAGCCGGUGGAGUAACCAUUUUUGCAACCAGCCGCCAGGAGUUAGGGUGUUUCCUUGCCCGUC